UACGUAGGGGGCUAGCGUUGUCCGGAAUCAUUGGGCGUAAAGCGCGUGUAGGCGGUCCGGUAAGUCCGCUGUGAAAGUCGGGGGCUCAACCCUCGGAUGCCGGUGGAUACUGUCGGGCUUGAGUACGGAAGAGGCGAGUGGAAUUCCUGGUGUAGCGGUGAAAUGCGCAGAUAUCAAGGAGGAACACCAAUUGCGAAGGCAGCUCGCUGGGACGUUACUGACGCUGAGACGCGAAGCGUGGGGAGCAAACAGG
rnacentral:rRNA from 1 species